rnacentral:tRNA from 1 species
CAAUUCGAGUUGUCCUGAUACCGACUCGCUAGCCCAGCCAAUCAAAAACAACAAGACAUAAUUACUAAACCCAAAA